CCUACGGGAGGCAGCAGUGGGGAAUAUUGCACAAUGGGGGAAACCCUGAUGCAGCGACGCCGCGUGAAGGAAGAAGUAUUUCGGUAUGUAAACUUCUAUCAGUAGGGAAGAAAAUGACGGUACCUGACUGAGAAGCCCCGGCUAACUACGUGCCAGCAGCCGCGGUAAUACGUAGGGGGCAAGCGUUAUACGGAUUUACUGGGUGUAAAGGGAGCGUAGGCGGUUUAGCAAGUCAGAAGUGAAAGCUCGGGUCUCAAACCCGGGACUGCUUUUGAAACUGUUGAACUAGAUUGCAGGAGAGGUAAGCGGAAUUCCUGGUGUAGCGGUGAAAUGCGUAGAUAUUAGGAAGAACACCGAUGGCGAAGGCAGCUUACUGGACUGUAAAUGACGCUGAGGCUCGAAAGCGUGGGGAGCAAACAGGAUUAGAUACCCGAGUAGUC
rnacentral:rRNA from 1 species